ACCUGCAUCAUCAGUAUCUUCUCUCUUCUUUGAUGGAAGAUCAUUAGCUUCAUCAAAAACUGUAUGAAUUGACUCUUUCACUGCUAGUAUUCUUUUAUUAAAUACCCUAAAAGCUUUGCUAGAAAUGGAAUAGCUAAGAAAGAUAGCUUCAUCAGAUUUAGCAUCAAAUUUACCUAAGCUAUUUUUGCCAUUAUUUAAAAUAAAAUAGCGACAAUCAAAAAUAUG
rnacentral:lncRNA from 1 species